CUACGGGCGGCAGCAGUAGGGAAUAUUGGACAAUGGGCGAAAGCCUGAUCCAGCAACACCGCGUGCACGAUGACGGCCUUCGGGUUGUAAAGUGCUUUUAGAGGAGAUGAGAAAGGACAGUAUCCUCUGAAUAAGCCUCGGCGAACUACGUGCCAGCGGCCGCGGUGAAACGUAGGAGGCAAGCGUUAUCCGGAUUUAUUGGGCGUAAAGCGCGUGCAGGCGGUCUAGCAAGUUGGAUGUGAAAGCUCCCGGCUCAACUGGGAGAGGUCGUUCAAUACUGUUAGACUAGAGAAUAGGAGAGGGAGGUGGAAUUCCGGGUGUAGUGGUGAAAUGCGUAGAUAUCCGGAGGAACACCAGUGGCGAAAGCGGCCUCCUGGACUAUUUCUGACGCUAAGACGCGAAAGCUAGGGUAGCAAACGGGAUUAGAUACCCUAGUAGUC
rnacentral:rRNA from 1 species